rnacentral:rRNA from 1 species
CACCCGCGCGUAUCAUGCUUCUCUCCGAUGAUACUGCCUAUCGGGGCGGGUGAUCCGUGGGUACCUGCCCUACUGGGAUAACUCCGGGAAACCGGGGCUAAUACCGGAUAACAUUUUGCACUGCAUGGUGCGAAAUUGAAAGGCGGCUUCGGCUGUCACUUAUGGAUGGACCCGCGUCGCAUUAGCUAGUUGGUGAGGUAACGGCUCACCAAGGCAACGAUGCGUAGCCGACCUGAGAGGGUGAUCGGCACACUGGGACUGAGACACGGCCCAAACUCCUACGGGAGGCAGCAGAGGGAAUCUUCCGCAAUGGACGAAAGUCUGACGGAAGCAACUGCCGCGUNAGUGAUGAAGG